CCAUUGAAACACUCUUUCCCUUACGGUCACCGAUGUUAAGCAACGUCGAGCUUGAUCAUUACCUAUAUGGGUGACAGCUUGGGAAAACCAGGUGCUGUAAG